UACGUAGGGGGCGAGCGUUGUCCGGAUUUAUUGGGCGUAAAGAGCUCGUAGGCGGUUUGGUAAGUCGGGUGUGAAAUCUCCACGCUCAACGUGGAGGGGCCACUCGAUACUGCCAUGACUCGAGUCCGGUAGAGGAGGUGUGGAAUUCCCGGUGUAGCGGUGAAAUGCGUAGAUAUGCGGAGGAACACCGAUGCGAAGGCAAUCCCGUGGACCUGUACUGACGCUCAUGCACGAAAGGCGUGGG
rnacentral:rRNA from 1 species